CAAACCGGAGGAAGGUGGGGAUGAUGUCAAAUCAUCAUGCCCCUUAUGACCUGGGCUACACACGUGCUACAAUGGACGGUACAAAGAGCUGCAAGACCGCGAGGUGGAGCUAAUCUCAUAAAACCGUUCUCAGUUCGGAUUGUAGGCUGCAACUUGCCUACAUGAAGCUGGAAUCGCUAGUAAUCGCGGAUCAGCAUGCCGCGGUGAAUACGUUCCCGGGCCUUGUACACACCGCCCGUCACACCACGAGAGUUUGUAACACCCGAAGUCGGUGGGGUAACCUUUUUGGAGCCAGCCGCCUAAGGUGGGACAGAUGAUUG
rnacentral:rRNA from 1 species